rnacentral:lncRNA from 1 species
AUCCAUGGAGGGUAUUAGAGACAUAUUUGUGGUCUUGAUAUGGAACCUGAAAGAAAAGUUUAGCAUCAAAGUUAAAGUGGUAGAAAGGAGGCAUGGAAGAAGUGUUCAACACAUCUUGGGAAAAUCAAGAGGUCCAUCUUAUGGAUGGAAAGAACAAGAAGACUCUGGAUCUCUUUGCCAGAGAAGUUCGGAGGAAUGCUAAAUGAGGUUGGAGCUGAAGAUGAAGUUUUCAAGACAUGUUUUGUCUUCUUGCUAAUGUGUGUUGUUGUGAACUGAGCUGUUCUCCUUACUCCCACUUAACCCCAGAAAGAAAGAAAUCCCGAGGGAUUCAUAAGCCACUGAGAUUGCUGAAUUUUCCCCUGGGUCUGUGGUUCCUACAGGAAGACUCGCAGCCUCACCGCAGGAGCUGAAGCGGUGUAUGGGAGAGAAGCAGAGUACUACAGUGACAAGUACACUGGGCAUGCCAAGAGGAUACCUACAAUCUAGUAUCUGAUGUGAAUGUUUCACUCAAAUAAAUGUGGAUAAUGUUUUGUCCAAAUUCUGUUUGAAACAUAAUGGUUG